rnacentral:rRNA from 1 species
CGGGACGGGUGAGUAAUGUCUGGGAAACUGCCCGAUGGAGGGGGAUAACUACUGGAAACGGUAGCUAUACCGCAUAACGUCGCAAGACCAAAGAGGGGGACCUUAGGGCCUCUUGCCAUCGGAUGUGCCCAGAUGGGAUUAGCUAGUAGGUGGGGUAAUGGCUCACCUAGGCGACGAUCCCUAGCUGGUCUGAGAGGAUGACCAGCCACACUGGAACUGAGACACGGUCCAG